rnacentral:rRNA from 1 species
UAUCCUGUCUGAAUAUGGGGGGCCCAUCCUCCAAGGCUAAAUACUCCUGACUGACCGAUAGUGAACCAGUACCGUGAGGGAAAGGCGAAAAGAACCCCGGCGAGGGGAGUGAAAAAGAACCUGAAACCGUGUACGUACAAGCAGUGGGAGCACGCUUAGGCGUGUGACUGCGUACCUUUUGUAUAAUGGGUCAGCGACUUAUAUUCUGUAGCAAGGUUAACCGAAUAGGGGAGCCGAAGGGAAACCGAGUCUUAACUGGGCGUUAAGUUGCAGGGUAUAGACCCGAAACCCGGUGAUCUAGCCAUGGGCAGGUUGAAGGUUGGGUAACACUAACUGGAGGACCGAACCGACUAAUGUUGAAAAAUUAGCGGAUGACUUGUGGCUGGGGGUGAAAGGCCAAUCAAACCGGGAGAUAGCUGGUUCUCCCCGAAAGCUAUUUAGGUAGCGCCUCGUGAAUUCAUCUCCGGGGGUAGAGCACUGUUUCGGCAAGGGGGUCAUCCCGACUUACCAACCCGAUGCAAACUGCGAAUACCGGAGAAUGUUAUCACGGGAGACACACGGCGGGUGCUAACGUCCGUCGUGAAGAGGGAAACAACCCAGACCGCCAGCUAAGGUCCCAAAGUCAUGGUUAAGUGGGAAACGAUGUGGGAAGGCCCAGACAGCCAGGAUGUUGGCUUAGAAGCAGCCAUCAUUUAAAGAAAGCGUAAUAGCUCACUGGUCGAGUCGGCCUGCGCGGAAGAUGUAACGGGGCUAAACCAUGCACCGAAGCUGCGGCAGCGACGCUUAUGCGUUGUUGGGUAGGGGAGCGUUCUGUAAGCCUGCGAAGGUGUGCUGUGAGGCAUGCUGGAGGUAUCAGAAGUGCGAAUGCUGACAUAAGUAACGAUAAAGCGGGUGAAAAGCCCGCUCGCCGGAAGACCAAGGGUUCCUGUCCAACGUUAAUCGGGGCAGGGUGAGUCGACCCCUAAGGCGAGGCCGAAAGGCGUAGUCGAUGGGAAACAGGUUAAUAUUCCUGUACUUGGUGUUACUGCGAAGGGGGGACGGAGAAGGCUAUGUUGGCCGGGCGACGGUUGUCCCGGUUUAAGCGUGUAGGCUGGUUUUCCAGGCAAAUCCGGAAAAUCAAGGCUGAGGCGUGAUGACGAGGCACUACGGUGCUGAAGCAACAAAUGCCCUGCUUCCAGGAAAAGCCUCUAAGCAUCAGGUAACAUCAAAUCGUACCCCAAACCGACACAGGUGGUCAGGUAGAGAAUACCAAGGCGCUUGAGAGAACUCGGGUGAAGGAACUAGGCAAAAUGGUGCCGUAACUUCGGGAGAAGGCACGCUGAUAUGUAGGUGAAGUCCCUUGCGGAUGGAGCUGAAAUCAGUCGAAGAUACCAGCUGGCUGCAACUGUUUAUUAAAAACACAGCACUGUGCAAACACGAAAGUGGACGUAUACGGUGUGACGCCUGCCCGGUGCCGGAAGGUUAAUUGAUGGGGUCAGCGCAAGCGAAGCUCUUGAUCGAAGCCCCGGUAAACGGCGGCCGUAACUAUAACGGUCCUAAGGUAGCGAAAUUCCUUGUCGGGUAAGUUCCGACCUGCACGAAUGGCGUAAUGAUGGCCAGGCUGUCUCCACCCGAGACUCAGUGAAAUUGAACUCGCUGUGAAGAUGCAGUGUACCCGCGGCAAGACGGAAAGACCCCGUGAACCUUUACUAUAGCUUGACACUGAACAUUGAGCCUUGAUGUGUAGGAUAGGUGGGAGGCUUUGAAGUGUGGACGCCAGUCUGCAUGGAGCCGGCCUUGAAAUACCACCCUUUAAUGUUUGAUGUUCUAACGUGGACCCGUGAUCCGGGUUGCGGACAGUGUCUGGUGGGUAGUUUGACUGGGGCGGUCUCCUCCUAAAGAGUAACGGAGGAGCACGAAGGUUGGCUAAUCCUGGUCGGACAUCAGGAGGUUAGUGCAAUGGCAUAAGCCAGCUUGACUGCGAGCGUGACGGCGCGAGCAGGUGCGAAAGCAGGUCAUAGUGAUCCGGUGGUUCUGAAUGGAAGGGCCAUCGCUCAACGGAUAAAAGGUACUCCGGGGAUAACAGGCUGAUACCGCCCAAGAGUUCAUAUCGACGGCGGUGUUUGGCACCUCGAUGUCGGCUCAUCACAUCCUGGGGCUGAAGUAGGUCCCAAGGGUAUGGCUGUUCGCCAUUUAAAGUGGUACGCGAGCUGGGUUUAGAACGUCGUGAGACAGUUC